rnacentral:lncRNA from 1 species
AAGGAAUGGUACCAGCUCUUCUUUUUACCUCUGGUAGAAUUCGGCUCUGAAUUUCGUUCCACUCUCCCCAUCACUUUCAGGUACACCAACCAAAGACAUUGUUGUCUUUGGGACCAAUACAUUUCUUCUAUCUGCAUAUCUGGGUAGAAGCUCUCAUGGAAGAAAAAAGAAAAGCCCCAUAGGUGAAGGGGAGUGUGCCUGCCAAGUUCCUUGUAAUAACUUCACAUGCAGAGUAUUUUCUGAAAUGGAUCUGCUGGAGUCAUCUCAUGGAAUCUUCUCAUUCUUCUGGAGUCUCCUCAUUUUACAGGAAAAACAUCCAGGCAAGUGGACAGCAUUUGCAUCAGCCCAGCAAUAAGAAGGACCAUAUUCUACUUGGGAAAAGGUAAAGUCAUUUCAUAUGGAUGGAGCCUGCCAGGAAACCUGUCAUUCAACCCUUCGCAAUAAAACAGCUCCUCAUGAAUGAAGCAAAAUAAAUCAGAAGUUGUGGGCUUUUAAACUCACUAAAUGAAAGCCCAGCAUGCAUGCAGCCUCCCUCCAAAUUAAUCACCAGAUUAAAUGCAAGAUGUGCACACCAAAUCAAUAGCUUGUGACACAGACCUCCUGCCUGUGCUUCAGGAAAAUUCCAUUUCCUUUCAGAUGUUGUCGCUUGAAAUGUCAGGAAGUUUCCAUUCAUCACCCGCCCUUGAAAAUGCCACCAUCACCAUACUUCAUGUUUCCUUGCUUUCUUUCUUCAGAGGAAUCCAAGCACCUUGCAGAGGGAGCCCACUCCUUGUCACAG